rnacentral:rRNA from 1 species
ACGAGUUCUGAUUAUUGAAAGGUGCUUGCAUCUUGAUUUAAUUUUGAACGAGUGGCGGACGGGUGAGUAACACGUGGGUAACCUGCCCUUAAGUGGGGGAUAACAUUUGGAAACAGAUGCUAAUACCGCAUAAAUCCAAGAACCGCAUGGUUCUUGGCUGAAAGAUGGCGUAAGCUAUCGCUUUUGGAUGGACCCGCGGCGUAUUAGCUAGUUGGUGAGGUAACGGCUCACCAAGGCAAUGAUACGUAGCCGAACUGAGAGGUUGAUCGGCCACAUUGGGACUGAGACACGGCCCAAACUCCUACGGGAGGCAGCAGUAGGGAAUCUUCCACAAUGGACGCAAGUCUGAUGGAGCAACGCCGCGUGAGUGAAGAAGGCUUUCGGGUCGUAAAACUCUGUUGUUGGAGAAGAAUGGUCGGCAGAGUAACUGUUGUCGGCGUGACGGUAUCCAACCAGAAAGCCACGGCUAACUACGUGCCAGCAGCCGCGGUAAUACGUAGGUGGCAAGCGUUAUCCGGAUUUAUUGGGCGUAAAGCGAGCGCAGGCGGUUUUUUAAGUCUGAUGUGAAAGCCCUCGGCUUAACCGAGGAAGUGCAUCGGAAACUGGGAAACUUGAGUGCAGAAGAGGACAGUGGAACUCCAUGUGUAGCGGUGAAAUGCGUAGAUAUAUGGAAGAACACCAGUGGCGAAGGCGGCUGUCUGGUCUGUAACUGACGCUGAGGCUCGAAAGCAUGGGUAGCGAACAGGAUUAGAUACCCUGGUAGUCCAUGCCGUAAACGAUGAAUGCUAGGUGUUGGAGGGUUUCCGCCCUUCAGUGCCGCAGCUAACGCAUUAAGCAUUCCGCCUGGGGAGUACGACCGCAAGGUUGAAACUCAAAGGAAUUGACGGGGGCCCGCACAAGCGGUGGAGCAUGUGGUUUAAUUCGAAGCAACGCGAAGAACCUUACCAGGUCUUGACAUCUUUUGAUCACCUGAGAGAUCAGGUUUCCCCUUCGGGGGCAAAAUGACAGGUGGUGCAUGGUUGUCGUCAGCUCGUGUCGUGAGAUGUUGGGUUAAGUCCCGCAACGAGCGCAACCCUUAUGACUAGUUGCCAGCAUUUAGUUGGGCACUCUAGUAAGACUGCCGGUGACAAACCGGAGGAAGGUGGGGAUGACGUCAAAUCAUCAUGCCCCUUAUGACCUGGGCUACACACGUGCUACAAUGGAUGGUACAACGAGUUGCGAGACCGCGAGGUCAAGCUAAUCUCUUAAAGCCAUUCUCAGUUCGGACUGUAGGCUGCAACUCGCCUACACGAAGUCGGAAUCGCUAGUAAUCGCGGAUCAGCACGCCGCGGUGAAUACGUUCCCGGGCCUUGUACACACCGCCCGUCACACCAUGAGAGUUUGUAACACCCGAAGCCGGUGGCGUAACCCUUUUAGGGAGCGAGCCGUCUAA